rnacentral:rRNA from 1 species
CGACAGGCUUAACACAUGCAAGUCGAGGGGCAGCACAGGUAGCAAUACCGGGUGGCGACCGGCGCACGGGUGAGUAACGCGUAUGCAACUUACCUAUCAGAGGGGGAUAACCCGGCGAAAGUCGGACUAAUACCGCAUGAAGCAGGGGUCCCGCAUGGGGAUAUUUGCUAAAGAUUCAUCGCUGAUAGAUAGGCAUGCGUUCCAUUAGGCAGUUGGCGGGGUAACGGCCCACCAAACCGACGAUGGAUAGGGGUUCUGAGAGGAAGGUCCCCCACAUUGGUACUGAGACACGGACCAAACUCCUACGGGAGGCAGCAGUGAGGAAUAUUGGUCAAUGGCCGAGAGGCUGAACCAGCCAAGUCGCGUGAGGGAUGAAGGUUCUAUGGAUCGUAAACCUCUUUUAUAAGGGAAUAAAGUGCGGGACGUGUCCCGUUUUGUAUGUACCUUAUGAAUAAGGAUCGGCUAACUCCGUGCCAGCAGCCGCGGUAAUACGGAGGAUCCGAGCGUUAUCCGGAUUUAUUGGGUUUAAAGGGUGCGUAGGCGGCCUUUUAAGUCAGCGGUGAAAGUCUGUGGCUCAACCAUAGAAUUGCCGUUGAAACUGGGGGGCUUGAGUAUGUUUGAGGCAGGCGGAAUGCGUGGUGUAGCGGUGAAAUGCAUAGAUAUCACGCAGAACCCCGAUUGCGAAGGCAGCCUGCCAAGCCAUUACCGACGCUGAUGCACGAAAGCGUGGGGAUCAAACAGGAUUAGAUACCCUGGUAGUCCACGCAGUAAACGAUGAUCACUAGCUGUUUGCGAUACACUGUAAGCGGCACAGCGAAAGCGUUAAGUGAUCCACCUGGGGAGUACGCCGGCAACGGUGAAACUCAAAGGAAUUGACGGGGGCCCGCACAAGCGGAGGAACAUGUGGUUUAAUUCGAUGAUACGCGAGGAACCUUACCCGGGUUUGAACGCAUUCGGACCGAGGUGGAAACACCUUUUCUAGCAAUAGCCGUUUGCGAGGUGCUGCAUGGUUGUCGUCAGCUCGUGCCGUGAGGUGUCGGCUUAAGUGCCAUAACGAGCGCAACCCUUGCCACUAGUUACUAACAGGUAAAGCUGAGGACUCUGGUGGGACUGCCAGCGUAAGCUGCGAGGAAGGCGGGGAUGACGUCAAAUCAGCACGGCCCUUACAUCCGGGGCGACACACGUGUUACAAUGGCGUGGACAAAGGGAAGCCACCUGGCGACAGGGAGCGAAUCCCCAAACCACGUCUCAGUUCGGAUCGGAGUCUGCAACCCGACUCCGUGAAGCUGGAUUCGCUAGUAAUCGCGCAUCAGCCAUGGCGCGGUGAAUACGUUCCCGGGCCUUGUACACACCGCCCGUCAAGCCAUGGGAGCCGGGGGUACCUGAAGUCCGUAACCGCGAGGAUCGGCCUAGGGUAAAACUGGUGACUGGGGC